UCCACGUGGAGAGGGAGGGUGGAGUUAGUCAUGACAGCCACACAGAACAUGGUUGCAUAAGAGGGGGAAAGUGAAGGUGUUCGUACCAAGCACAGAACUAACUGUCAAGUUACCCACAGUCCACAGAUUACAGCCCGAUCCGGGGCGUGUCAUUUCCACAGGGGGCUUUAGGGGAAAAGAAAGAAAGAAAGACUAUUCCACGAGCAUCAAGCAAACCAGGUGCUCCAUCUCCGCCAUCGCCGCCGCUGCUGCGGGCCGCCGCCGCAGCCGCCGCCAAGCGUCUCAGCCGGGAGCGGAGGGCGGAGACCCGCGCGCGUCCAUCUUUACUGCUCCGCUGCCCGCGCCGCCCGCACUCCCUCGCGGCCUCAGCACGCAGGCGCGGCGAAGCCCCGGUUGCAUCACGGGACUUUGUAGUAGGAGAUCCGCGCGCCCCCCCUUCCCCCGGGCGCACCCGCGCCCAAAGGGAACUACAAGUCCCUGGAUGCAUCGGGAAAGAGGCGCGGCCCGGGGGGGGGCUCCCUGCUUGGCCGCGGACGCGCGGGGUCACCUCUGCCCCGAAGCGGGAGCUGUCCCCCGCCCGAGGCACCUCCGCGGGCUUGUUGGGAGUCGUAGUUUAUUCUUGUUCUGACUUACAGCUAAUCUCGGCUCCCUAACUAUCACGUCAGUCUUUUGAAGUGGAAAAGGGGUCGGUAAUUAUCCCUACUUUCUAUUGGGGAAAACUGGACGGAAAGUACCCGAAACUCUCAAAACCGUGUCCUGGUUGUAAAUGCAGAGCUUUAUUAACGUUGUAAUUUAGAACGCAUUAACAGGUGGCCCUGAAGAGAUCCUGGGAUUGAUGCUCGCAGGUGUAGUGGGAAGCGCAUUCAAGUUCAGAUCUCCUCCCAACAAGUUACUUGACUUCUCCGACCCUGAUUGGUAAGAUGGGAAUAAUAAUACCUUAGGGAAUUCCCUGGAGGUCCAGAGGUUAGGACUCGGCGCUUUCACGGCUGGGUGCGCCGGUUCAAUCCCUGCUCGGGAACUAAGAUCCCACAAGACCCGGCGCGGCCAAAAAAUUAAAAAAGAAAAAAAAAAAACUCACAGGGUGGUCGUGUGGAGCGGAUAAGAUAAUACAUGCAAGGAUAUCUAGUACUAUCUCUGUGCGUAUACCGGUUCACAAUAAAUAUUAAUUUCCCUUC